AUUGAACGCUGGCGGCAGGCCUAAAACAUGCAAGUCGAACGAGUGGCGGACGGGUGAGUAAUGUCUGGGAAACUGCCUGAUGGAGGGGGAUAACUACUGGAAACGGUAGCUAAUACCGCAUACCAUAAGAUGUGACACGAGGGGAUUAGCUUGUUGGUGGGGUAACGGCUCACCAAGGAGACGAUCCCUAGCUGGUCUGAGAGGAGGACCAGCCACACUGGACCUUAGACACGGUCCAGACUCCUACGGGAGGCAGCAGUUGGUAAUAUUGCACAAGGGGCGCAAGCCUGAUGCAGCCAUGCCGCGUGUAUGAAGAAGGCCUUCGGGUUGGAAAGUACUUUCAGCGGGGAGGCGUUACCCGCAGAAGAAGCACCGGCUAACUCCGUGCCAGCAGCCGCGGUAAUUC
rnacentral:rRNA from 1 species